UCCAGCUGGCGCGUUGGCCGGUCCGUAAGUAGUCGAUGUCGAAGUCUCGAGAAGGUGCGAUCGUUUGUGUUUCGCCGCCCCUUCUUUCGCACCCUGCGCGCUCGUGUAUGUGUGUAUUCGCACGCGAAUCGAAUCGUACGCACGUGAGAGACGAGACGGAGAUAAGAGUGUGUGUUGCUAUCAGCAGUGUGACCGCAAAGUGGGAACGACGAUAAGGAACGAACGGGGGGCGUCCGUCCAUCGUCCCGGUCAUCGUCCGUGUUGAGGAGGAGUGAAGGAGUUAGGCGAGCAUCAACGCCGAAUCCGAUAGUCGCGGACUCUGCUUGCCUGCCUCUGCGUGCCUGUCGAGAGCGUGCCGGAGGAGACAGAGAGAGAGAGAGAGAGAGAGAGAGAGAGAGAGAGAGAAAGAGAGAGGGGUUCAUCCAGACGGAAGACGGCGACCUGGAAGUCACACACCGAUUGGCGAAGAAGCCUCUUCCCGAGUCUGUUGCCUCGCGUCUUUCUUCGUCAUCGUUGUGUUAUCUACGAGGUUUGUCAUCAACGUAGAGAUCGAGAGACGUGAUCGCGGCUCGGAGCUGCGCGCAGAGUCGUUUCCGUAGCCGCGGUUCCAGUCGCAACGUUCUCGAGGGACUCGAGGGACGGGAAAUCACGAGAAAUGGAACGACCCUCGCCGAUUGUCGGUCUCGGGCUUGGUAGAGGCCCUUGGUGAAGGCUCGUGUAGGCUGGCGCGUGUCCUUGGAGGUCGCAGGGAUUAUCCUGGGUGAGCAGUAACCACCAGCCGCGCGACGGAACGAAUGUGCAGGAGGUCGGAACGGGAGAAUGCUCGGUCGAUCGCGCUGGACAUGGGAUAGGUGAUACAUCCCGCGUUGACGACGAUGGGGCGGUAAAUCGAGCGAGUGAACGCAAAAUGGAUUGGGCGCCUCGGAUCAGGUAGCCGGUAACGACGAAGCAGUCGUGUGGCCACCGCCAACCACCAAACAGAGGAA